CCUCAGGCUACUGCCACUGACGUGCUCACAUUCGAUGAACAAGUUGCACCUGUGUCCACAUCACCACAUGUGUCAGAGCUUGAGCGUCAGCCCACCUCCAAUCUGUCUCCUGACCAAAGCAGAGAUGAAGUGUCUCCAUCCACACCCACAACUCCUUCACCUCUCACAGGGGGUGAGAUUAUGGAGGCAGAGGAGCCCGAGACGUCCACAGCCCCAACUCCUUCACCUCUCACAGGGGGUGAAAGUAUGGAGGCAGAGGAGGCAGAGACAUCCACAGUCCCAACACCUUCAAUUCCCACUUGGGCUGAGGUUAUGGAGGCAGAGGAUGGAGAGACCUCCACAGUCCCAACUCCUACACCUCUCACUUGGGCUGAGGUUAUGGAGGCAGAGACCUCCAGAGUCCCAACUCCUUCAAUUCCCACUUGGGCUGAGAUUAUGGACGCAGAGGAGGAAGAGACGUCCACAGUCCCCACUCCUACACCUCGCACAUUGGGUGUGAUUAUGGAGGAAGAGGAGGAAGAGACGUCCACAGUUCCAACUCCUUCAAUUCCCAUUUGGGCUGAGAUUAUGGAGGAAGAUGAGGAAGAGACGUCCACAGCCCCCACUCCUACAGCUCGCACAUUGGGUGUGAUUAUGGAGGAAGAGGAGGAAGAGAUGUCCACAGACCCCACUCCUACACCUCGCACAUUGGGUGUGAUUAUGGAGGAAGAGGAGGAAGAGGAGGAAGAGACGUCCACAGCCCCCACUCCUACACCUCGCACAUUGGGUGUGAUUAUGGAGGAAGAGGAGGAAGAGACGUCCACAGCCCCCACUCCUACACCUCGCACAUUGGGUGUGAUUAUGGAAGAAGAGGAGGAAGAGACAUCCACAGUCCCAACUCAUCCACCUCUCACAGGGGGUGAGACUAUGGAGGCAGAGGAGGCCGAGACAUCCACAGCUCCAACUCCUUCACCUAUCACAGGGGGUGAGAUUAUGGAGGCAGAGGAGGCAGAGACCUCCACAGUCCCAACUCCUUCAAUUCCCACUUGGGUUGAGGUUAUGGAGGCAGAGGAGGGAGAGACCUCCACAGUCCCAAAUCCUACACCUCUCACUUGGGCUGAGGUUAUGGAGGAAGAGGAGGCAGAGACCUCCACAGUCCCAACACCUUCAAUUCCCACUUGGGCUGAGAUUAUGGAGGAAGAGGAGGAAAAGACGUCCACAGCCCCCACUCCUACACCACACACGUUGGGUGUGAUUAUGGAGGAAGAGGAGGAAGAGCAGGAAGAGACGUCCACAGUUCCAACUCCUACAUCUCUCACUUGGGCUGAGAUUAUGGAGGCAGAGGAGGCAGAGACCUCCACAGUCCCAACUCCUUCAAUUCCCACUUGGGCUGAGAUUAUGGAGGCAGAGGUGGAAAAGACGUCCACAGCCCCCACUCCUACACCUCGCACAUUGGGUGUGAUUAUGGAGGAAGAGGAGGAAGAGACGUCCACAGCCCCCACUCGCACACCUCGCACAUUGGGUGUGAUUAUGGAGGAAGAGGAGGAAGAGACUUCCACAGUCCCCGCUCCUACACCGUGCACAUUGGGUGUGAUUAUGGAGGAAGAGGAGGAAGAGAUGUCCACAGCCCCCACUCCUACACCUCGCAUAUUGGGUGUGAUUAUGGAGGAAGAGGAGGAAGAGACGUCCGCAGCCCCCACUCGUACACCUCACACAUUGGGUGUGAUUAUGGAGGAAGAGACAUCCACAGCCCCCACUCCUACACCGUGCACAUUGGGUGUGAUUAUGGAGGAAGAGGAGGAAGAGCCGUCCACAGCCC
ensembl:lncRNA